rnacentral:misc_RNA from 1 species
GAUGAAGAACGUAGCGAAAUGCGAUAAGUAAUGUGAAUUGCAGAAUUCAGUGAAUCAUCGAAUCUUUGAACGCACAUUGCGCCCCCUGGUAUUCCGGGGGGCAUGCCUGUUCGAGCGUCAUUUCACCACUCAAGCCUCGCUUGGUAUUGGGCGACGCGGUCCGCCGCGCGCCUCAAAUCGACCGGCUGGGUCUUUCGUCCCCUCAGCGUUGUGGAAACUAUUCGCUAAAGGGUGCCGCGGGAGGCCACGCCGUAAAACAACCCCAUUUCUAAGGUUGACCUCGGAUCAGGUAGGGAUACCCGCUGAACUUAAGCAUAUCAAUAAGCGGGAGGA